UAGGGAAUCUUCCACAAUGGGCGCAAGCCUGAUGGAGCAACACCGCGUGAGUGAAGAAGGGUUUCGGCUCGUAAAGCUCUGUUGUUAAAGAAGAACGUGGGUAAGAGUAACUGUUUACCCAGUGACGGUAUUUAACCAGAAAGCCACGGCUAACUACGUGCCAG
rnacentral:rRNA from 1 species